UAUAUUUGCACGCUGAUAGCAGAAUGCUAUUUAUACAUAAAAAUCAUUUAAAAUAAUAUUGGAAUG
rnacentral:ncRNA from 1 species